AGUGAACGCUGGCGGUAGGCCUAACACAUGCAAGUCGAACGGCAGCACAGUAAGAGCUUGCUCUUACGGUUGGCGAGUGGCGGACGGGUGAGGAAUACAUCGGAAUCUACUUUUUCGUGGGGGAUAACGUAAGAAAACUUACGCUAAUACCGCAUACGACCUACGGGUUAAAGCAGUGGAGCUUCGGACCUUUCGCGAUUGAAUGAGCCGAUGUCGGAUUAGCUAGGUGGCUGGGUAAAGGCCCACCAAGGCGACGAUCCGUUGCCGGUCUGAGAAGAUUGAUCAGCCAAACGGGACCUGAGAAAGGGCCAAGCUUCCUAGGGGAGGAAGAAGUGGGGAAUAUUGGAAAAUGGGCGCAAGCCUGCGCCAGCCAGACGGCGUGGGUGUAGAAGGCCUUCGGGUUGUAAAGUCCUUUUGUUGGGAAAGAAAAGCAGCAGGUUAAUAACCCGCUGUUCUGACGGUACCAAAAGAAUAAGCACCGGCAAAUUUCGU
rnacentral:rRNA from 1 species